GUAAAAAUGCUACUAUGAAAAAUUCUAGAAGUCCAAACUCUCAUACAUGUGGUGACCAUAAUAGCAGAUUGUAGGAGGCACAGGGAAUAAAUAUUGGCUAUCCCAAAUCUCCAAUCCUCUUAACCUUAAAACUUUUGUAUAGCUUCCCAUAUGCUUAAAAAAAAAAAAAAGAAAUGAACAAAGACUGCAGGCCUGACUCUUCCGCUCCCACUCUCCAGCUGAAGUGACUCUUUUUCUCUCUAAAUGCAAACCCAGACGCAAAGCGAAGAGUGCAUGAAAAAAGAGAUGGGGGAGAGAGGGAGGAAAGAAAAAUAAGCUCCUGGCUUCCUCCUACUAUCACUAAUUCCUCAUUUCCUCUAAGAAAGCUCUGCGAGCACUCGGAAAGAUCGCACGCUAUAGUGUGGGCCAGACAGGCGAACCAAAACAUUCAAGAAAGCCCCGAUAGUCCCGCAAAUCUGAUCAGUGGUUUCACAGCCAUCAAUGAGGACAACAACAACAACAGGUUUUUCAAUAGCUUUGCAGAGAUGAAGAAGGGGGUUAGAGAUGGACCUCCAAGAUGGCUGUGAAGGGCCACACUAACACUGUAGAGGCCCCUGGGAAGCUUGUCUCUGGUGGCCCUGAGACAACGCACGCACACUUCCACAGGCUGAGGAGAUGGACUUGGAUGCAUCUAUAACAACAAACACAGGCCUUACUUUUCCAUUCCCAUUGAAGACAUCCAUCAGCCUUCGCUUCAUCUUUACCCAGUGGCUCAUCUUCGGAGCAGCAACCUGCUGUAAAUUCACAUGCGCACAAUGGAAGAGUUGAGCAAAAGAAAUGAACUGGCCUGCAAUCUGCAGUGAAUCGAUAGACCCUGAAGACAUGUUGCCUUUCAUGAGUGACAUUGUGGCAGGCUGCAAAAGCCGAGACAAAAGCGUGUGGGAAAAUGUCGGGAUCCACGCCGACACACGCUGAUCCACGUGUGCAAGUGCGAUGAGGACGUGCGGCCUAAACUGGUGGGAGGCAUCCAUACAACGGAGUAAGGUGAUUGUCUGGAAGUCCGGUAAGAAAGCUCUCUCUCUGCUUUUCUGCUUGUAUUGCAUGCGGGAACUGUAAAUCCGAGAUCCUCUUUACUUUUUUUUUUUUCUCUGUGGGAUUUCAUGAACAUUUCAAAACAAUGAGGAUGGGGCUGCUAAUCUCUGUGGUACAGCUAAAUCCCAGACAAAGGCAAAUAAUAAGAGCCGGGUAAAUUCCACCGUGAUGAAGCGGCCCUAAACCUAUCACUUGUGUACGGGAAUUACAAGGAAGACGCGCGUCAUGUCAACAAUAUCUGGUGCGAGUGUCUUCAGCAGAAACAAUGGCAAGCUUAAACCGUCUCAACGUGGCCCUGGUGUGCCACACGUUUAAAAGCGUGUGUGCUAAUGAGCAUGGGCACGCCUGCCUUCAAACAAAAG